rnacentral:tRNA from 1 species
GCCCACGUAGCUCAGUAGGUAGAGCGCUUCCUUGGUAAGGAAGAGGUUUCACCGGUUCGAUUCCGGUCGUGGGCUCCA